rnacentral:rRNA from 1 species
GACAGAGGGUGCAAACGUUUGUUCGGAAUUACUGGGCGUAAAGCGUGUGUAGGCGGUCUUACAAGUCAGGUGUGAAAGCCCCGGGCUCAACCCGGGAAGUGCACUUGAUACUGUUUGACUUGAGUACUGGAGAGGUUGGUGGAAUUCUCGGUGUAGAGGUGAAAUUCGUAGAUAUCGAGAGGAACACCGGUGGCGAAGGCGGCCAACUGGACAGAUACUGACG